rnacentral:misc_RNA from 1 species
UCAAAGACUAAUGCCACAUUGCCUACAUUAAUAUCAUAUACUGUAUAAACAGGCAACAGAGAAAUGCCACUGCGUAUACUUUUAUACCAUCAGGAGUACAAGCCACCCUGCAUACCUUAAUACCAUGGACAAUUUUUUAAUAUCUAUACCAGUAUAUAUUGGUAUAUAUGGAUUCUCAUUAUUUAAUGCAGCACAUGUUUUAAACAUAUUAACUGAUCAUGAUAAUUAGACGGAGGUCCCAAUGCAAUACGAUAAUGGUGAAGCAAUAAACUCCCUUACAAGAUUAUCACCAAAGAGCACUUGUUUAGAAUAAUCUGUCAGUAUUGAAGAGGCCAUCUUGGAAAUAUUGGAGCGGUGUGUAGCGGCAGUGUAAAGUGAAGGUCUGGAUCGAUAGAUGUUUUAGUGAAACGAAGUAGCAGUGGAUUGUCAUCGCCAGCUCUGUGUUAACGUUAACCUGCAGCUUGGAUGCCGGGCUCUGAAACAAGAAUAAUAGUGGCGCAUAUUGGUAUAUAAUAUAAGAUGGCUUUGGGGUGAACGUAGCGUCAAGGUGAAGCAUACAUCGCGAGUCUACUGUCAUAUACGUCACCGAUGCUGAACUGGAAACAAUUACACGAGGAUAACACUGUACCGAGAAGUAGAGUGAUAUGGCAGCUGAUAUCAAGCCAACAAUACAACAUGUCUCUGAGCUACAAACUAGUAACGAUUUUACUCUAAGUAAUGUCACUGUAACAACAAAUGAUGUCACGUCAUUUACUAGCGAUGUUUCUCAGUUUGGCGGUAACAGCAAUUGGAAAUCAGUAGCCACUGAUUUGUCUACAUUGGCUGUCCCGUCCGAUACCAAUUCACCUACAGAGCAGGUCCCUGUCGUACCGUUAGAUAUACAAUGGUACAAUAUAGAGGAAUAUGUAACGUUUGAGACAGUUAGACUUUUAUGGUUCUAUGCAUCCCCAACGUUGAUAGUUUUUGGAAGCUUGGGGAACUUUCUCUCCAUCGUCGUAUUCCAAAGUUCUACCCUGAAAAGUACAAGUACAGGCUUGUAUCUUACAGUGUUAGCUAUAAUGGAUAUAUUAGUUCUAUAUACCAAAGUCAUGCAUGUCUGGAUGUUGACUCUGCAUGGAUGGAGUUACGCGUCUACGAGGAGAUGGAUUUGCAAGCUGUUUAUUUUCAGCAGCAGUUUUUCUACUCAAAUGUCAUCGUGGUUAUUGGUGAUCAUAUUGGUUGAACGAGCCAUUAUUGUCUGUAAGCCUCUCAAGUCAACUCGUAUAUGCACUAUGCAAAAUGCUGCCAUAACUCUUGGUGGCUUUAUUGUUACUUUCACUGGAAUUAACCUCCAUUCUCUAUGGACACAAUGUAACUCUACUCAGGCUUUUAACAAAUCCUCACAUUCCACUAGACAAGCGUCCUAUUUAGCACUCAAUAGAGACAAUUGGCCAUGGGUACAUAUUUUUAUAUCAUAUAUAAUUCCAUGUCUUGUUGUAUUUUUCACGUGCCUUGUUGUGUUUUUCAAAUAUUCCCGCUCUCGUCACCAACGUAAAGAUACUAUGCUUAUGGCUAUCUCAAAACUGAAACCUAACAGGACAACAACACUAACUGGAAUGUUGUUAGUUAUUGGCUUUCUCUUUGUUAUAUUCGCCUUACCAUGCGCCAUAUAUUUUCUUUAUGCUAAGACGUUUACUCCACAAAACCAUAAUUUUUUCAGAUCUGACAAAAAUGCACUUGCACACUCCUGUCUCUUGUUGAUAGUGUAUGCUUAUCACUCUACAAAGGUUAUCUUCUACUAUGCAACUGCCACAAAAUUUAAACGAGAAGUAUUAAAACUUCUUCGUUUAAGAAAAUCAAAACCAUACGUAAAUAAUCAUAUAAGACCUAAGGUUAAAUACAUAUCUGAGUAUGGGAGGAGAAGUGACAAUAAACAAACACUGAAUGUCCCACAAUUGUCUGUUGGAAAUCGUACCAAUUCGAACAUUGCGAUUUCUGAAAUGGAAGCUACUUCAUGUACCGCAACGACACCUAUCGAUCCCCCUCAAAGCUGUAAUGAAGGUAAUGAGAGUACUCAACCCAUUCCAUCUUCAUCGACAAAUUGGAUGUAAGGACAAGAAAAUAACGUGUCUUAUUAAUUUUAAUGUAUUUGUUCGUAUAUGCACUACAACUAUUGAGGGUACAGAAUGGGAGUGUGGGAAUAUAUACAGAAGAACGUUUGAAAUCCAGUUUUCCCUUAAAAUGGGAUUCGCACUUGUUAUCAUAUACUUGUUAUCACCUGAGAAUUAUCCAACAGUGUUCUAACUCACAUUUAUUUGUCAUCUUGUGAAAACUGAAUUUAUAAUUCCAACUUAUUUCACAAAGCACCAUCACCAAAAGAGUUUUUUACAAUAAAUGAGUGUUGGUCUCUUCAUCAGCAUAAUUGUGAAAAACAGUUUUGACAUUUUGAAGAAGAAGUGAAAUGCAUUAACUUAAUUACAAUAUAGUAUUAAUCUAUCAUCAAAUACUUGAUAAAUGGUCGGUCAACUCCCGAGCGUCUAUUCUUAUUGAAAUAUCAGAACUUGUUUCCAAAGAUCACAUUUUAACCUUUAAGUUGCUCUUACACAUCUUCGCACACUCGGUUUAACACAGUGGCAUGGAGUUUUCAAAGUUGUUAAGGAUCCGUUUCGGUCCCUUCCAAGUGAACAUUCUAUGGCACUGGAUUUGUUCUACGGAAUAUAACUGAUCAUUUCAGUAAAAAUGCUGACUUUAGCCAAGUAAACUCAUUUGAAUACAUUCGCCAAAACGUAAAAACAGA